AUCUUUGUUAGUGCUUUAUGGUAAAUAUUUGCGGUCGUAAACAGAAAUUCGCUCUUUACAGCCCACAAUCAAAUGCUCCAACUUAUCGACGGGUGAGUUGAUCCAAAGAAUAUCUGAUAAAUCAGUAAUUUCCUCUUGAGCUUCUCUGCUAGGUAAGCUUUCGAGAGUUGAAAGUUUAUCGUCCUGCCUCAAGAAAAAGACUCUUCCAUCAGAUGCACUAAUCGCGAAUUCCGGACGAUUUACAGCAAACGCAAUACCAGUCAAAGAGACUUUGCUAAUCGAUUUCUCUGCAAGCAAUUCCUCACUCUUUACAUCGAACACUCGCACCAUGCCAUUUUCAUGCAGAGAAUAUAAGCGAUCAGGGUUACCAUUUUUCCAUACGAUCUUGUUGAUCCUGUCUUUAACAGCCGGAUUACCAAUAGCAGAAUUUCCAGCAAUGCGCAUUUGGCUUACAAGAAUUUGGGUAUCUAAAUCAUAAAAUCGAACAUUCCCAUCGUUAUAGGCAAUAGCAAUUCUACUAUCGGUAACUGACAUAGAUAAAGGCUGCUUAGAAUCACAUCUUAUCUUGAACAAUUGUUCACCAGUAUAUUUCCAACCUCGCACAGUACCAUCAGAUGAUAAUGAGAGUAAGAUUGGGUUGUUGUCUUUAACUUCAUGACAAAAUAGCUCCCAAACACAAUCUUCAUGUCCCUGAAAAAUAGUGGAUCCAGUCAGGAUUUUCGAUAUUGAGUCAGACGUUUGAUUAGCCGGCAAACUCCAACAUCUGAUAGUACCGUCAUGACCUCCACUAAAUAU